rnacentral:misc_RNA from 1 species
GAAGUGCGAUAAGCAAUGCGAAUUGCAGAACCGUGAGUCAUCAGAUUUUUGAACGCAACAGGCGCCGGUUGGCUCUCCAACCGGCAUGCUUGUUUCAGUGUCUCUUUAUCUCAUCACCCAUAUCAUAAUGCGAGAGAUACCCUUCUCUUGCUAAGCUCGAAAGCACUCUGCGCUCUGCGAGCGGCUUCGACUUGUUCGAGGGUCGCACUCAAUGCAGCCGUCACAUUGCUCACAAUGUGAACUCAUUGAGAGCUGAGGCAGUGUAGCGUAAGCUACCAGUGCUUAGUCACACAAACUUUACUUGCAUCUGAAAUCAAGCAGGAUCACCCGCUGAACUUAAGC